GUCGCCUCGGUAGGCGACAGCAACGCACCUGUCACAACUUUACCACCGGACAACAACAAUAAGGUGCUGUAAAACGCGGAUGCUGAUGCGCGAGUGGAGGGAACGCUACCUAACCCCGAGGUGCCUGCCGGAUACGCCUCUGCGCACGAGUGUCACCAGCCGCAAUCUUUUUGUUAAUAAUGAGGGUUAUGCGGCCUGGUGACUGUCAGCAGGGCGUGUGUACGAGCAAAUACAGAGUGGCAGGCGAGUGGACGGAGUACUGCACAAGACAGGAGUUCUACACGACACCUAACCUGACCUGUCAAGGUGCUGCAGAUGUAAAUUGCUGCAAGUGAUGUUAUUAAAUAAAAAUGACAGGAGGUGGGUGGCUGAAGCAAAAAUAAAAACGUGUAAAAUAUAUAAAAAGUUUACUCUCCGACCGUAUAACCGCUCUGCACACGGGUAAGAAGAAAUAAAAGUGUGCAGAGCAAUGUAUUAACAAAGUAAAAUAAAAUUUGUCAA